rnacentral:rRNA from 1 species
AACGAACGCUGGCGGCAUGCCUAACACAUGCAAGUCGAACGAUUGCCUUCGGGUGAUAGUGGCGCACGGGUGCGUAACGCGUGGGAAUCUGCCCUUAGGUUCGGAAUAACAGCUGGAAACGGCUGCUAAUACCGGAUGAUAUCGCGAGAUCAAAGAUUUAUCGCCUGAGGAUGAGCCCGCGUUGGAUUAGGUAGUUGGUGGGGUAAAGGCCUACCAAGCCGACGAUCCAUAGCUGGUCUGAGAGGAUGAUCAGCCACACUGGGACUGAGACACGGCCCAGACUCCUACGGGAGGCAGCAGUGGGGAAUAUUGGACAAUGGGCGCAAGCAUGAUCCAGCAAUGCCGCGUGAGUGAUGAAGGCCCUAGGGUUGUAAAGCUCUUUUACCCGGGAAGAUAAUGACUGUACCGGGAGAAUAAGCCCCGGCUAACUCCGUG